GCCUUCAGACUCAGACUGGGAGUUACAGCAUCAGCUCCUAUGGUUCUCAAGCCUUUGGACCCAGACUAAACCACACCAUUGGCUUUCCUGAGUCUCCAGCUUGCAAACAGCAGAUCAUGGUCUUUCCGAUGACCGCCCAUCGCUGUGGAUUCGUGCUGCCUCUCGGAAUUCAUGUGCAACCUGCGGAAGACCACUAUGUAACAACUACUUCAAAGAAACCAGCUCUCUGAGGGCGUGUUGAUGUGGAUAAUUCUAAACAGUGGUGAUAGAAUCUUAAAAUUGAGUCGUUCCAUCCACAGUAUGUUUUUGGCAUUGAAGACAGCAGAGUGGAAUGCUACCCAUUCAAACAUUUGCAGCGCCUUUCCCCAUUUCUGGCUACUGCCACAGAAAACUCAGAGAAGCAGAAAUGCAAAUUUUCAGACAUUGGUUCCACAUGAAAUGGGACAGACCGCGGCACCGGCUACUGCGGGGGACCAGAUAGGACCAGGGCUGCCCACACAUAAAGACGGCCAUUAAGGAGAAGUUGUUUAUUUCUGCUUCUGCAGAAAUCAUAAACACCAACCCUGAGCCUGACAGCGCAAGCUGUGCUGCAGUAAAUUCUAGUCCUUUGCUGGCCAUUCUAAGCUGCCCAGUAAAAGUUACUGUA
rnacentral:lncRNA from 1 species